UACGAAGGGGGCUAGCGUUGCUCGGAAUUACUGGGCGUAAAGCGCACGUAGGCGGCUUGUUAAGUCAGGGGUGAAAUCCUGGAGCUCAACUCCAGAACUGCCUUUGAUACUGGCGAGCUUGAGUUCGGGAGAGGUGAGUGGAACUGCGAGUGUAGAGGUGAAAUUCGUAGAUAUUCGCAAGAACACCAGUGGCGAAGGCGGCUCACUGGCCCGGUACUGACGCUGAGGCGCGAAAGCGUGGGGAGCAAACAGG
rnacentral:rRNA from 1 species